AAAGUGGUAGGAGCUGUGCAUUGUAGAGAAACAUCUCUAAGGAGCUCGGGGGGCUCGAGUCCAAUGAUUUUUAACUGCAUGCUAAGCGAGGACUAGGCCAGGAGCGCCUGGAGGAGUUCAUGGGUGAGGAAGACAGACUGGUGUGGCGGGGAGCUGACACACUCUUGCUGAGGCAGACAGGCAUCAAGGGCUGGCAUAAUCCAGGAUACUGGAGCAGAUGGACCACUAGUCUGAUCAGGGACAAAGGCGCUCAGCCUGAACAAUACUAUUGGAAGGAAAUCUAACAAACACUGGCCAUCAGGCUCCAUGGACUGAAAUCGGAGAAGAGGCUGGUAAUAAAUAAGGACCAAAUUCAAAGGUGUGCCUGGGAGGCAGACAGUGCCAGGGACAAAGGAGGAAGUGGACUGUAAAAUGAGGAUAAUGGAUGAUAUCGGGAAGUAUUGUGUGUUACACGCCUGAACUCAAGUUUGAAAGCAGUCGGAGACCCUUGGAUGGAAGAAAUUAAUUGUGUCGGCAAAAUGGUUUGGAAAUGCUCUGAAGAUUGUUCUUCUAUCAACGUGACAGAUUAAGUUACAGGCUGCUGAGCUGAAUUCACCUUGGACCAAUGGUGCACUACCACUGGGGCUCCCCCUACUACAAGCUGAAAUCACUGAGUGCUGUGUUAAGUGGGGGGGCCUGAAGAUAUAUGGCUGAGCAGCUGGCGGAGCGGUGCAGUUGGAGGGACAGCUGGAGCGGCUCACAGGACGGCUGGUGGAGCAGAGCAGCUGGUGGAGCAACGCAGUUGGCGGGACGGCUGGUGGAGCAGAGCCGCUGGCUUGAGCAGCUCAUGGGAUGGCUGGUGGAGAGGAGCGGCUGGCGGAGUGGCUCACGGUGAAGGCUGCAGCAGAACCCCAUGGAGAGGCGGAGCAGUCGGCCUUGGACCACGUAAGGUGCCCCUUAAUACCCCUGCGGGGGGCAUUUUCACCCAGGCUGGGAGGUAAAACUCUGCAGAUAAACUUUUGAACUCUGGGGCUGCACCGACCAGGGACAGAGACUUUGGGUUGUUGGACUUUUGGGUGAUUUUUGGGGUGUUGGACUUUUGGGACUUUGGGUGAUUUUUUUGGGGUUGCUGGACUUAAGACCCUGAGGGGAAAAGGACACUGCCAAACUUACUUGUGGGGUGGGUCUUUUGCUCAUGGUCUGUGUUAUGAAUCCUGUUUGUGGUGUUUCCCCAACAUAAUGCCGCAUUGUUUCCCUCCUUUAUUAAAAGGAUUUUGCUACA